GACGAACGCUGGCGGCGUGCUUAACACAUGCAAGUCGAGCGGUAAGGCCCUUUCGGGGUACACGAGCGGCGAACGGGUGAGUAACACGUGGGUGACCUGCCCUCAGCUCUGGGAUAAGCCUGGGAAACCGGGUCUAAUACUGGAUAUGACUCCAUGACGCAUGUUGUGGGGUGGAAAGCCUUGUGCGGCUGAGGAUGGGCCCGCGGCCUAUCAGCUUGUUGGUGGGGUGAGGCCUACCAAGGCGACGACGGGUAGCCGGCCUGAGAGGGCGACCGGCCACACUGGGACUGAGACACGGCCCAGACUCCUACGGGAGGCAGCAGUGGGGAAUCUUGCGCAAUGGGCGAAAGCCUGACGCAGCGACGCCGCGUGAGGGAUGACGGCCU
rnacentral:rRNA from 1 species